GGGGGUUUAGCUUAGUGGUAGAGUGCUUGCCUAGCAAGCACAAGGCCCUGGGUUCGGUCCCCAGCUCCG
rnacentral:tRNA from 1 species